GGCUAGCCAGGUGUGAGCGUUCGUGUGGGCGUGACGGUGAGGGGUAGUGCGGGCGAGCGAGGAUGAGGGGCGUCUGGUGGUUGUCCCUGGCGGCGCACGGCGGAGCGAGCGGUUGGAGCGACCGAAGGUCAGGCGGCGCGGGCGCAUGGUGCUGCACGGAGGUGGGCCCGGUGGUGGAUGCGCGCAUGGUGCCCAGUUGUGCGCCGCCUCUCCCCCGGGUUGAAGCCGGCACCUCCUCGGCGUCCGCCUGCCCGGUACGGAUCCGCUCGUUCUCUCAACCUCCCGUCUCAGCUCCUCUCUCUCAGGCAGCAGCAGAUACGGGCAUACGGCGGUCGCGUCGACAACGGGUCCGACGGGGAGCGCUCGCCGAGCGACGACGGUGCUUGGACCCGGCAACAGCGAUGGCCGGCAGCGCGCCCCGAGCGACGGAGGUGACUGGACGCGGCCGAGAAGCAGCAAGGAGAUGCGUUGCAGUAGCGCAAGCCAUGCCCUGGAUUGGGCAUUGCUGUUUUGACGCCAAGAGAUGACAUUGCUUGCUGAUGAGGCGAGCAGCCAACUUGUUUGUGAGAUACGACAACACACCUUGACUUGAUUCGAGCUCACCAGCAUGCAAAUGUGUUUCUAGGUUCGCACAUUUCUGUGAUUAGAGAGGAUACAUACUUGUUGGGCAGCAGGCUCUUAUCAGAGGCGGUGGUGGAAAAUCCUAGCGCGUGGGGUUGCAUGGGCUGGUGCAGCUGUAGCAGCUGUAGCUGGUGGACGGAGUGGCUGCGCUACCUGGUCUGAGGUAGAAGAGAAGAAGGAAGUAUCAAGAAGGCAAAGCCGAUGGUUCCACUUUUCAAACUAAAGAUUCGUCAUUGGCUAGCUAAGAACUGGCUGCAUCCUGAGCUGGUGACCAGUGUUUCACCCGUCGCCUGAUGGCUAGCAGGCCAUCAUUCAUGGUAGUUUGCAUCUCCCCAUUUAAAUAUCAUUGACAUAUGGUGGUUGCUGUUGCAUACUGAAACUAGGACCCUAAUUUUUUGUGUGUUCUCCCUGAUUAUGUUAAUCAGGUCAUGUUUGCUCUGUUGGCAAUAUUUUUAGUACCCGUGCUCACAUUUAAAUAUCAUCUCUAUUUUUUUCUGUCCAAAUGAACUUAGUGUGGUAUGCUAUCUUGUGUUAACCCGUGUUGUCUAGCAGAUCUGACAUUCAUGGAAAAAGUUCAGGUUUUGUGUAGAUGGUUUGGUGGAACAAUGGAAUAUUAAGUUGUGUAGGCUAGCACUUUUUUGGAAUUAAUUUUUUUUUUUGAGAAACACAGUACAAACACAGACGCUCACAAACACGCGCUUACUCUCACCCCUAUGAACGCACACACUUCCGGAAGACUGAGCCGGUGGAUCGGAUCUUGAAAUUGACGAAGUCAUCACGGGCGCCUCGCUGUUGAUGGGAACGUCGCCUCCCACUGAAAGAAUAUUCCGCCUUUAUGAGAUACACAUAUGUCAAACCUGGGGUUUGAACUCUGGUGGGCUGGGGUACAACCACCCUCCUAACCACCCAACCUCAGGUUGGUUCUCUUUUUCGGAAUUAAAUAAUGGGUGAACCUCUCUGCCUUUUACUCUAGGUGUGCUGUUGGAAGCUGGUCAUGAUGGCUACUGAAAGUCUGAUAGAGUGGAGAAUAAAAAGGCUGAAAACACCAUUGAUAAUGUAGUAAUAGAAGACUUGAAGGUGCCUCUCGCGAUCAUUUGCUGAAUCCUUGAAUGGUAUAUUUAUCUCCAGGCUGCUUUGAUUGCUUUAGCUGCUCAUGCUUCUGGCCCGACUGAGGACGAAAGACUGAGUUUUUUGGCUUCUCCUGCUGGAAAGGAUGAGUAUGCUCAAUGGAUUGUAGCUAUCCAGCGGAGCCUUAUUGAAAUUAUGUCUUCAUUCCCUGCAGCUAAACCUCCUUUGGGAGUAUUCUUUGCAACGGUUGCUCCUCGUCUACAGCCACGAUUCUACUCCAUAUCAUCAUCUCCAAAGUAUGCCUGUGUACUUAAUUAAUCUUCCAUUUAUUACCCAUUAUAGAAGAUUCACCAGUAAGGUUGUAAAGCUCUCAUUUUGUGGGGUAAAUAUAUGUAUGCACGAUGCUUAAAUUCUUCGACCCAUGGCGCUGCUCACAAGGUUGUGGCUACAGGGGAUGCCAAGAGAGGUAACUUGGCGAUUUUUUCUACUAAUUGAGCAGUGCACAGAUGAUAAAGGGACGUAGAUAGAGACCCUCUAUUUGUUUUCUAUUCAUGAGCAUGGUUUGGGCUAAUUAUAUAGUAACACAAGGACUUUGGAUUGCUGUUAUAGCCACCCUGUCCUCUUGCUAUGACCUGGUGAAUCUUUUUUCCCCUACCCAUAAGCUCCCAACUGAUUAAAAUCUACUUGGCCAGGUUUCUGCUCUAUUCGAGUGGGGAGAUUGACUAGAGCAAAAGUAUUACUUAUAAGAACCAUUUUCUUGUUGUUUCACUACGAUUAUUGGUUCCCUUAUUUUUAAAAUACUUGAGUGUGGCCAUAGAUCCAGAAAGCAUCCAUUACCAGGUAUGAAUGCUGAAUUUUAGUUCAAGACAUCACUAAGUUAUCAGAUUCUUCUAAAUCCAGUUUCUAUAAUCUCUCUGGCCUUUGAGGAUGGAUGUGGCCAUCGAUCCAGAAAGCAUCCUUAUUUAUUGCUCAACACCGAGUCAAACUAUUUUGCAGGCUAAGUACAUGAGCUCCCGCCUCUCCUCGCCUCUCAGCUGCCGGCGGUGGAGGUCUGGCUCUCGGCUACGGCGGGACCCAGACGUGUGCGGUGUCUCCGGACUACGCGAUCUACGCUUGGUGUCUUUGGCGGAAGCCUUAGCCGGCCUGGGAUGGUCGCCAGCAUGGGGGCGCGACCUGAAUAAAGGCGGGGGUCCUAGGAUUUCAAUUUGCGUCAAGAUGAUGAUCUGCUAGAGCUAUGUCCCCUUUGAUCUGGCUAGAGUGACGGGUUUCGGGAGGCGCCGCGGCGAUCUUCCAUGGGCGAUUCACGCCUGGAGACUGCUGGAUCGGGUGGGACUCGGUCGUGCGUACCUCUGUUUUACUCUGGCCGUUUGGUUUCAGAGAGAGCGCUUCGAAGCUCUGCUGGCCGUUAAUAUCAUGGGGCAUAUUUUCGUUCCAUGGUGCUGGCAAAGAAUGUCCCGAAGGCUGAGAUCUGAGGACUAGCAAUGGAGGUUCCAGUCUUUGGAGUGAGGAGGAGUUGGUUUGGUGUUUCAUGACUUGGAGUAGCGACAUGCAAGUGGGGCGAUUGCAUAGGAGAAGACCAGAGUCUUACCUUUCAGGGUGGAAAUCCAAGGUCUGGCCUUAAUUGGUUGUGCCUAGCAAUGACUUUGUUGAAGACAUUUGUUUUGAAAGUGAGGAUCUUCUUCAGGCUGAAAAUCCAGAUCUUUGAUCGGGCGACGAUAGCGCUUGUGCACUGUUCUCUUCUUGGAGACGCCGCUUCUGAAGAAGUUGUAUUUAUGGUGCUAUCUUGAUGGUGCGUAGUGGGAUUUUUUUUCCGUAAUUCUUCUUCUUUUUUGGUUGUGUGCUUCUAUAAGGCUGCUAGAGUAAUGCGUUGUGGCAUAGGUUGAACGUAAUUGGUAUCUCCGAUAUUAAUAUAUGCUCUUUGUCGAAAA